GAAAAUUGUAUGACCGAUCAAGCGUACCAACUUAAAAACAAUGAUAGUUUGUGUAAUGUCACCGAUAGAACACCUUUUGGCGAAGAUAUAUGUUAUCUGUGGUUAAAUUAUUUUCUCUAAUCUAUGUCAUGCUUACCGCUAAUCCGCUUGUUCGCGAAAAAAUGGCAGAUCCGUUUUUGUUUUCUAUAAGCUCGUCAUUAAUUACGUGAUCUACAAUUAGAAUUAUUUAAAUAUCUGCUUUAUUUUAAUCGGCUUAAACAAACGACAGGCAAUUCGGCGCCGACGCCGGUCAUGUGCCGUCCAUAUUCGCCAUUUUGUCAUUUGUCCUUUAAGUAAGAAAAUGCAAACAAAACAUUAUUUGCCCUAAACACGCGUUACUCUCAAAUAAUAUUACCGAAUGCCGACAAAGUGAUCUUGUUUUAUCAAACUGAACUCCGAACUGCAAUUGCAAUGUAAUUUUCCGAUAGCGAAAGUGAGGUUAUGAAAUUGACAUGACAUUUAGUGAAUGCAAUGCAAUGGACAUGUGUUUUGUUGUGUUUCUCAUCAAGAUAAUAGAAGAAUCUAGUGCUCAUACUCAUGAUCUAAUGAGCAAACAGCCCAUGCAAAGGAUGUCUUAACGGGCCAUGUCUCCACUGAUAAAAUUAUUAAGUUACCUACUUCAACGCAGCUUUUCAAGAAAGGUAAGUCCUUGUUUUAUUAUUUGAUGUGUUUUCAAACAAGUCGUUGUUUUCGAAACCCAGCAGAACAUACUUGCGAACUACAAUAAAUAGACCAAAUAUAUAUGGUGAAAUGUUGCUUAUUUCGUUGUUUUAUCGUCAGAUAAAUUAAUGAUUAGUAAAUUUCCCACGUUACUUUCUGACUUUCACAUUCCCUAAGAGGAUCUAAAUGUACGUGAAAUAGGCCUAACUAACAAAAUAUAUUUGUUACUUUCAAUGAGGUUUACAUGGUUGUUCGAUUUUUCAGUUUCAACAUCUAAUUGGAAUUUCUCUGGAAAGUUUACAAUGCCCGAUAUUUCUACACAUCUGCCACAAAUUUAUGGAAAUCAAUAUUUUUAGAAACUGAACAUACCUUGGUUAAACGUAUAUGAAAUGGAUUAUCAUCAUUGAAGAACAUCAACCAGCUGUCGGCAACAUGCAGGUUGACUGAGGAAUCCCCAGUGCGUGGUCACGGACCGUUCCCCAUAUAUCUACUGACUUCAUAUAAAUGAAAGUGUACUGAGGACUCACUAAUCUGCACUACUAGUAACAAAGUAAUCCGACAAUCAGACUGGACCCGGUCAUGUUAGAUACCAGAGGAAGACGAAAAUAUAAUUGAUUCUGUACUGAUGCAUGACUUCGCUCGGAACGCGGCAAGAAUGAACAAUGGAAGAAAAUACUACAGACUUGUUUAUUAACGAUAAAGUUAUUUUAGUUUUUAUGAAAUAGCGAUUGAAUAAAAAUAUUA